UCCGAUUUAAAUAUCGGCAGUCUCGCUAGAGUGCCCGGCAUAACCCGCUGGUAACUAGGGACGAGGGUUGCGCUCGUUGCGGGACUUAACCCAACAUCUCUGAUCCCGGCGACUCCCAUGUCAAGGGCUGGUAAGGUUCUGCGCGUUGCGUCGAAUUGAACCACAUGCUCCACCGCUUGUGCGGGCCCCCGUCAAUUCCUUUGAGUUUCAACCUUGCGGCCGUACUCCCCAGGCGGGGUGCUUAACGCGUUAGCUGCGACACUGACGAGCAAGCUCGCCAACGUCUAGCACCCAUCGUUUACGGCGUGGACUAC
rnacentral:misc_RNA from 1 species